CCUACGGGUGGCAGCAGUGAGGAAUAUUGGUCAAUGGGCGCGAGCCUGAACCAGCCAAGUCGCGUGAGGGAAGACGGUCCUAUGGAUUGUAAACCUCUUUUGUCGGGGAGCAAAACACGCCACGCGUGGCGUUCCGGGAGUUCCCUAAGAAAAAGCAUCGGCUAACUCCGUGCCAGCAGCCGCGGUAAUACGGAGGAUGCGAGCGUUAUCCGGAUUUAUUGGGUUUAAAGGGUUCGCAGGCGGAAGUUCAAGUCAGCGGUAAAAUUGAGAGGCUCAACCUCUGCGCGCCGUUGAAACUGGUGUUCUUGAGUGGGCGAGAAGUAUGCGGAAUGCGUGGUGUAGCGGUGAAAUGCAUAGAUAUCACGCAGAACUCCGAUUGCGAAGGCAGCAUACCGGCGCUCAACUGACGCUCAUGCACGAAAGUGUGGGUAUCGAACAGGAUUAGAUACCCGUGUAGUC
rnacentral:rRNA from 1 species